AGGUGCGAUCAUACUAGCAUUAAUGCAUUGGAUCCCACCAGAACUCCACGGUUAAGCGUGCUUUGGCUAGAGUAGUAUUGGGAUGGGUGAUCUCCCGGGAAGUCCUAGUGUUGCACCCU
rnacentral:rRNA from 1 species